AACGAACGCUGGCGGCAUGCCUAACACAUGCCAGUCGAACGAGACCUUCGGGUCUAGUGGCGCACGGGUGCGUAACGCGUGGGAACCUGCCCUUAGGUUCGGAAUAACUCCCCGAAAGGGGUGCUAAUACCGGAUAAUGUCUUCGGACCAAAGAUUUAUCGCCUUUGGAUGGGCCCGCGUUGGAUUAGCUAGUUGGUAGGGUAAAAGCCUACCAAGGCGACGAUCCAUAGCUGGUCUGAGAGGAUGAUCAGCCACACUGGGACUGAGACACGGCCCAGACUCCUACGGGAGGCAGCAGUGGGGAAUAUUGGACAAUGGGCGAAAGCCUGAUCCAGCAAUGCCGCGUGAGUGAUGAAGGCCUUAGGGUUGUAAAGCUCUUUUACCCGGGAUGAUAAUAACAGUACCGGGAGAAUAAGCGCCGGCUAACUCCGUG
rnacentral:rRNA from 1 species